GUGGGGAAUAUUGGACAAUGGGCGCAAGCCUGAUCCAGCCAUACCGCGUGGGUGAAGAAGGCCUUCGGGUUGUAAAGCCCUUUUGUUGGGAAAGAAAUCCUGUCGGUUAAUACCUGGCGGGGAUGACGGUACCCAAAGAAUAAGCACCGGCUAACUUCGUGCCAGCAGCCGCGGUAAUACGAAGGGUGCAAGCGUUACUCGGAAUUACUGGGCGUAAAGCGUGCGUAGGUGGUGGUUUAAGUCCGUUGUGAAAGCCCUGGGCUCAACCUGGGAAUUGCAGUGGAUACUGGAUCACUAGAGUGUGGUAGAGGGAUGCGGAAUUUCUGGUGUAGCAGUGAAAUGCGUAGAGAUCAGAAGGAACAUCCGUGGCGAAGGCGGCAUCCUGGGCCAACACUGACACUGAGGCACGAAAGCGUGGGGAGCAAACAGGAUUAGAAACCCCGGUAGUCC
rnacentral:rRNA from 1 species